GACGAACGCUGGCGGCGUGCUUAACACAUGCAAGUCGAGCGGUAAGGCCUUUCGGGGUACACGAGCGGCGAACGGGUGCGUAACACGUGGGUGAUCUUCCCUGCACUUCGGGAUAAGCCUGGGACACGGGGUCUAAUACCGGAUAUGACCUCCUAUCGCUUGGUGGUUGUUGGAAAGGUUUAUCGGUGCAGGAUGGGCCCGCGGCCUAUCAGCUUGUUGGUGGGGUAGUGGCCUACCAAGGCGACGACGGGUAGCCGACCUGGGAGGGUGACCGGCCACACUGGGACUGAGACACGGCCCAGACUCCUACGGGAGGCAGCAGUGGGGAAUAUUGCACAAUGGGCGAAAGCCUGAUGCAGCGACGCCGCGUGAGGGAUGACGGCCUUCGGGUUGUAAACCUCUUUCAGCAGGGACGAAGCGCAAGUGACGGUACCUGCAGAAGAAGCACCGGCUAACUACGUG
rnacentral:rRNA from 1 species